UUCCAGACUCCUACGGGAGGCAGCAGUGGGGAAUAUUGCACAAUGGGGGAAACCCUGAUGCAGCGACGCCGCGUGAGCGAUGAAGUAUUUCGGUAUGUAAAGCUCUCUCAGCAGGGAAGAAAGAAAUGACGGUACCUGACUAAGAAGCCCCGGCUAACUACGUGCCAGCAGCCGCGGUAAUACGUAGGGGGCAAGCGUUAUCCGGAUUUACUGGGUGUAAAGGGGGCGCAGACGGCGAUGCAAGCCAGGAGUGAAAGCCCGGGGCCCAACCCCGGGACUGCUCUUGGAACUGCGUGGCUGGAGUGCAGGAGGGGCAGGCGGAAUUCCUGGUGUAGCGGUGAAAUGCGUAGAUAUCAGGAGGAACACCGGCGGCGAAGGCGGCCUGCUGGACCGUGACUGACGUUGAGGCUCGAGAGCGUGGGGAGCAAACAGGAUUAGAUACCCGAGUA
rnacentral:rRNA from 1 species